CAGUCGCCGCGGGAAUACGGAGGGGGCUAGCGUUGUUCGGAAUUACUGGGCGUAAAGCGCACGUAGGCGGCUUGGUAAGUUAGAGGUGAAAGCCUGGAGCUCAACUCCAGAAUUGCCUUUAAGACUGCCGAGCUAGUAGGUGAGAGAGGUAAGUGGAAUUCCGAGUGUAGAGGUGAAAUUCGUAGAUAUUCGGAAGAACACCAGUGGCGAAGGCGGCUUACUGGCUCAUUCUAGACGCUGAGGUGCGAAAGCGUGGGGAGCAAACAGGAUUAGAUACCCGCGUAGUCCCUGUCUCUUAUAC
rnacentral:rRNA from 1 species